GCGCUCACUUCAGCAGCACAUAUCCUAAAACUGGAACAGUACAGAGAAGAUUAGCAUGUCCCCCGCUCAAGGAUGACAUGCAUAAAACAAAGAAGAGACAAGUUUGC